GACCAUAUCAAACUGAAACACCAUUUCCCAUACAACCACCAGAAUUAAGCAACAUCGCGCCUUGUCAGUACUUAUAUGGGUGAACAUUUGGGAAUACCAGGUACCGUAAG